CAAAGAUUUAUUGCGCAAGGAUGGGCUCGCGUUGGAUUAGAUAGUUGGUGAGGUAACGGCUCACCAAGUCGACGAUCCAUAGCCGGACUGAGAGGUUGAACGGCCACAUUGGAACUGAGAAACGGUCCAGACUCCUACGGGAGGCAGCAGUGGGGAAUAUUGGGCAAUGGGCGAAAGCCUGACCCAGCGACGCCGCGUGCGGGAAGAAGGUCUUCGGAUUGUAAACCGCUUUUAUGAGGGACGAUAAUGACGGUACCUCAUGAAUAAGCCGCGGCUAACUACGUGCCAGCAGCCGCGGUAAUACGUAGGUGGCAAGCGUUAUCCGGAUUUACUGGGUGUAAAGGGUGUGUAGGCGGGAAAGCAAGUCAGAUGUGAAAUUUACGGGCUCAACUCGUGAACUGCGUCUGAAACUGUUUUUCUUGAGGGUCGGAGAGGUAACUGGAAUUCCUGGUGUAGCGGUGAAAUGCGUAGAUAUCAGGAGGAACACCGGUGGCGAAGGCGAGUUACUGGACGAUUACUGACGCUGAGACACGAAAGUGUGGGGAGCAAACAGGAUUAGAUACCCUGGUAGUCCACACUGUAAACGAUGAAUGCUAGGUGUGGGGACGUAAGUUUCCGUGCCGCAGUUAACACAAUAAGCAUUCCACCUGGGGAGUACGGCCGCAAGGUUGAAACUCAAAGGAAUUGACGGGAGCCCGCACAAGCAGUGGAGUAUGUGGUUUAAUUCGACGCAACGCGAAGAACCUUACCAGGACUUGACAUCCCUUGACUACCUCGUAAUGGAGGGUCUUGAACUUCGGUUCAACAAGGUGACAGGUGGUGCAUGGUUGUCGUCAGCUCGUGUCGUGAGAUGUUGGGUUAAGUCCCGCAACGAGCGCAACCCCUACGGUUAGUUGCUACGCAAGAGCACUCUGGCCGGACUGCCGUUGACAAAACGGAGGAAGGUGGGGACGACGUCAAAUCAUCAUGCCCCUUACGUUCUGGGCUACACACGUACUACAAUGGCGAAAACAAAGGGAAGCAAUAUCGCGAGAUGGAGCAAACCCCAUAAAAAUCGUCUCAGUUCGGAUUGGA
rnacentral:rRNA from 1 species